CAAUUUGGAACGCUGAGUUCUUUGUAAAAAAGGAACGGGGGAACCAGGUUUUUGGGGUGAAUCUCUUUUCGAAGAGUAGGGUUAUCUUCUUUCGAUCCGAAUCCGUCAGCUAACCUCGUAAGCGUGGAAAGAGGAGAUUG
rnacentral:sRNA from 1 species